CACUACCUCCGUGUGCUCGUCGCCCCACGACUUGUCGGGUAAGUUCCGACCUGCACGAAUGGCGUAACGACUUUCCUACUGUCUCAACCACAGACCCGGCGAAAUUGAAGUACGAGUAAAGAUGCUCGUUAGCUGCAGAAGGACGGAAAGACCCCGUGGACCUUUACUACAACUUGAUGUUGGGCUUUGGUAUGUGUUGUGUAGGAUAGGUGGGAGACUUGGAAGCAUUGGCGCCAGCUAGUGUGGAGUCAACCUUGAAAUACCACCCUGCACAUGCUGGGGCUCUAACUUCGGCCCAUGAUCUGGGUCAGGGACAGUGCCUGAUGGGUAGUUUAACUGGGGCGGUUGCCUCCUAAAGAGUAACGGAGGCGCCCAAAGGUUCCCUCAGCCUGGUUGGCAAUCAGGUGUCGAGUGUAAGUGCACAAGGGAGCUUGACUGUGAGAGCGACAGCUCGAGCAGGGACGAAAGUC
rnacentral:rRNA from 1 species